UACGUAGGGGGCGAGCGUUGUCCGGAGUUACUGGGCGUAAAGGGCAUGCAGGCGGUCGGACGCGUUUUUGUGUGACAGCGGGUGGCUUACCUACCUGAGUAUACAAAAGACGGUUUGACUUGAGGACCCGAGAGGGACACGGAAUUCCAGGUGUAGCGGUGAAAUGCGUAGAUAUCUGGAGGAACACCGGUGGCGAAGGCGGCAUCCUGGACCAUGACUGACGCUGAGGAGCGAAAGCCAGGGGAGCAAACGGGG
rnacentral:rRNA from 1 species